UACCAGCACCCCGAGUGGUCGGGACGAUUAUUGGGCCUAAAGCAUCCGUAGCCGGUCCUACAAGUCUUCCGUUAAAUCCACCUGCUUAACAGAUGGGCUGCGGAAGAUACUAUAGGGCUAGGAGGCGGGAGAGGCAAGCGGUACUCGAGUGGGUAGGGGUAAAAUCCUCUGAUCCAUUGAAGACCACCAGUGGCGAAGGCGGCUUGCCAGAACGCGCUCGACGGUGAGGGAUGAAAGCUGGGGAGCAACCGG
rnacentral:rRNA from 1 species